GACGUAGGGCGCGAGCGUUGUCCGGAUUUAUUGGGCGUAAAGAGCUCGUAGGCGGCUUGUCGCGUCGUCCGUGAAAACCCCGGGGCUCAACCCCGGGCUUGCGGUCGAUACGGGCAGGCUGGAGUUCGGUAGGGGAGACUGGAAUUUACGGUGUAGCGGUGAAAUGCGUAGAUAUCGUAAGGAAGACCAGUGACGAAGGCGGGUCUCUGGACAGUUCCUGACGCUGAGGCACGAAGGUCAGGGGAGCAAACGGG
rnacentral:rRNA from 1 species